GGGGGAGAUUGAGGAUGAUAGUAUUAUUUUGAUGAUUAACACAACUAUUGAGGAAAUAUCUAAUUAAAUACUACAAGUUAACAUGAUACAUCAUUACUGAAUUCGACACUCUCGAUACAUUAGAAGAAUGAGAUCAAGAUGUCUUUCAAUGAUUAAUAAUGAGAUAAAAUUUGCAAUAGAAAAGGGAUAGUGAAUUCUAAAUUCUAAUUCAGUAAAGUUUCAAGUGAAACGUACUCGUAAGGGCACAAUAGUAGUUUUCAUUGUUAAGAGUAUGUAGCACUACCAUGGCAUACAUUCAAAAUUGCUUGAAGUAUAUUUCAUUGAUUGUAUAGAUGAGUCUAACCUUAAGAUGCAGCAAAGUGUGGAAUGAGUCGACCCCAACAAAGGUGGAGUCGACCCUGGCACAUCAUGGAACCAUCAGGUACACCUCUGCGAAAAUGACACGGAUGAACAGUAGUGGAGUCGACCCCAAGUAUGGUUGAGUCGACCCCAGCUUCAAGCCUCAAGAAAACAAGUCUCUGGCAUUUACUGAGAGGGCCGACCCCAACUUUCUUUGAGUCGACCCCAGAUGGAGCCGACCCCAGGAAUGCUUGAGUCGACCCCAAUGGAGUCGACCCCAAGGCUAUGUCGUUCAAAACUGUAUCUCUGGAAUUCCUGAGAGGGUCGACCCCAAUGGAACUUGAGUCGACCCCACUGUAGCUUGAGUCGACCCCAAAAAGACCCAGUGAAAGUUGGGUCGACCCCACUGGAAGUUGAGUCGACCCCAAGUUUGAUGAAUAGUGGUUUGAGUCGACCUCAGGAAAGUUUGGGUCGACCCCAGCACGGACAGAAGCAUAACGGCUAGUUCUGCAGAAGUACUUUUUGACCUCCCAACGGCUAGUAACAGAUAGUUUUUCAAAUCUAACCAAUAGAGAGUAACCUAAACAUGUGGGAAAGUGUUUAUAAUGACACUAUUCAUCAGAGCAAAGCAUCCUUUUGCAAUAGAUCAAAGUUUACCCAAGAAAGACAAAAGCCCUAAUUUUCUUCAUCGAGGUGCUUCAUUCUAGAGUCAAAAGGAAGUGGUU
rnacentral:lncRNA from 1 species